rnacentral:lncRNA from 1 species
ACAUUCAUCAUGCAUCAUAAUUUGAGGAGUGUUGGAUAUGUUACGUCAAUUAAUGAGGCGUGAUCCAACGCUCCGUGCUUUUUAUGAUUUAAAUCAUUUUUCUUUUAUUAUUUUAAUUGUUUUUUCUUUUAAAUUUCAUAUAAAUUCAAUUUUCAUCCAAAAUAAUCUCUACAAUUCUCUUUUAUUUUUCUUCAUCUGAUUUUUAUUUUUUCACAUUCUAUUUCACUAAUUUUCUAUUUUUCAUGAAUUUUCUUUUUUCUCCUUUAUUUUAAUUGGUUAAAAAAAAUACUUUUAUGCAUUUUUAAAUUAUGAAAAAGUUAUUAUAUUUUUAUUAUUU